rnacentral:rRNA from 1 species
CACCUCUAGCAUGAAUAGUAUUAGGAGGCACUGCCUGCCCGGUGACAUAUGUUUAACGGCCGCGGUAUCCUGACCGUGCAAAGGUAGCAUAAUCAUUUGUUCCUUAAAUAGGGACUUGCAUGAAUGGCUAAACGAGGGUUUAUCUGUCUCUUACUUUUAAUCAGUGAAAUUGACCUUCCCGUGAAGAGGCGGGGAUAGAUAAAUAAGACGAGAAGACCCUGUGGAGCUUAAAUUCAUUAGUCCAAGUACCAUUUAUAAUAACUCUACAAGAGACAAAAUUAUUACCCCUGGACUAAAAAUUUUGGUUGGGGUGACCUCGGAGCAUAAUCUAACCUCCGAAUGAUCUUAAUCUAGACCAUAACCAGUCUAAAUUUAAAUUCAUAAAUUGACCCAAACUAUUGAUCAACGGAACAAGUUACCCCAGGGAUAACAGCGCAAUCCUACCCGAGAGUCCAUAUCGACAGUAGGGUUUACGACCUCGAUGUUGGAUCAGGACAUCCAAAUGGUGCAACCGCUAUUAAUGGUUCGUUUGUUCAACGAUUAAAGUCU